ACACCUUCCCCUCGGUCAACAGAAUUCCUUAUCCGGAUUUCUAGUUCGCAGACGGAAAAAUAAAAAUUGAAGAGUCAUUUCCUUUUUGAAUAGAGAUUCAAUAAGGUGACUUGGAACACCCAAACUCAAUUCCAAGUGGCGACUCUGUAAGUAAAGUAAUCCCUUUUCAAAACGUCACUUUAAUUGGAAAAACCUUUUUUUUUCUAAAACCAACUCCCUAGCGGGGUCGGAUGCGGUGAAAAACAGGGGUGUGACAGAUGGCGACUCUGCUGGGGAUACAACUAGAAUUCGAGCUUUUAUAUUGACUUAAUUGGCUUUAUUUAAUUUUGAUAUUGUAUAUUGUUGGCCCA
rnacentral:lncRNA from 1 species